rnacentral:rRNA from 1 species
AAGUCGAGCGCCCAGCAAUGGGAGCGGCAGACGGGUGAGUAACGCGUGGGGAUCUACCCAUUGGUACGGAAUAACCCAGGGAAACUUGGACUAAUACCGUAUGUGCCCUUCGGGGGAAAGAUUUAUCGCCAAUGGAUGAACCCGCGUCGGAUUAGCUAGUUGGUGGGGUAAAGGCUCACCAAGGCGACGAUCCGUAGCUGGUCUGAGAGGAUGAUCAGCCACACUGGGACUGAGACACGGCCCAGACUCCUACGGGAGGCAGCAGUGGGGAAUAUUGGACAAUGGGCGCAAGCCUGAUCCAGCCAUGCCGCGUGAGUGAUGAAGGCCUUAGGGUUGUAAAGCUCUUUCGCCGGUGAAGAUAAUGACGGUAACCGGAGAAGAAGCCCCGGCUAACUUCGUGCCAGCAGCCGCGGUAAUACGAAGGGGGCUAGCGUUGCUCGGAAUCACUGGGCGUAAAGCGCACGUAGGCGGAUCGUUAAGUCAGGGGUGAAAUCCUGGGGCUCAACCUCAGAACUGCCCUUGAUACUGGCGAUCUCGAGUUCGAGAGAGGUUGGUGGAACUCCGAGUGUAGAGGUGAAAUUCGUAGAUAUUCGGAAGAACACCAGUGGCGAAGGCGGCCAACUGGCUCGAUACUGACGCUGAGGUGCGA